GUAAGGAAUAUUGGGCAAUGGACGGAAGUCUGACCCAGCCAUCCCGCGUGCAGGACGAAUGCCCUAUGGGUUGUAAACUGCUUUUGUUUGGGAAGAAAUGUAUUCUUUUAAGAGUAUUUGACGGUACCAGACGAAUAAGCACCGGCUAACUCCGUGCCAGCAGCCGCGGUAAUACGGAGGGUGCAAGCGUUAUCCGGAAUCACUGGGUUUAAAGGGUGCGUAGGCGGCCAGAUAAGUCAGAGGUGAAAGUUUCCGGCUCAACCGGGAGAUUGCCUUUGAUACUGUUUGGCUUGAAUCAGAUUGAGGUUGGCGGAAUGUGACAUGUAGCGGUGAAAUGCAUAGAUAUGUCAUAGAACAUCGAUUGCGAAGGCAGCUGGCUGGAUCUGUAUUGACGCUGAGGCACGAAAGCGUGGGGAGCAAACAGGAUUAGAAACCCUUGUAGUCC
rnacentral:rRNA from 1 species